AAUUCGACCUCGAUCGAAUGACAAUGGGUUACUAUUUCGUAAAGUUCGAAAUAACACCCUUUAAGGCUAGGGGCUUUCGCCAAAAUGAAGAGUUAAACCUCUAUCGAACGACGACGGGUGACUAUUUCGAUAAGUUCAAAAUAACACCCUUUAAGGCCAGAGGCCUUCGCCAAAAAGAAGAGUUCGACCUCGAUCAUACGACGACGGGUUACUAUUUCGAUAAGUUCGAAAUAACACCCUUUAAGGCCAGGGGCCUUCGCCAAAAAGAAGAGUUCGACCUCGAUCGAACGACGACGGGUUACUAUUUCGAUAAGUUCGAAAUAACACCCUUGAAGGCCAGGGGCCUUCGCCAAAAAGAAGAGUUCAACCUCGAUCGAAUGACGAUGGGUUACUAUUUUGAUAAGUUCGAAAUAACACCCUUUAAGGCCAAGGGCCUUCGCAAAAAAGAAGAGUUCAACCUCUAUCGAACAACGACGGGUGACUAUUUCGAUAUGCUCGAAAUAACACCCUUUAAGGCCAGAGGCCUUCGCCAAAAAGAAGAGUUCGACCUCGAUCAUACGACGACGGGUUACUAUUUGGAUAAGUUCGAAAUAACACAAUUUAAGGCUAGGGAGCUUCACCAAAAAGAAGAGUUUGACCUCGAUCGAACGACGACGGGUUACUAUGUCGAUUAGUUUGAAAUAACACAUUUUAAGGCCAAUGGCCUUCGCCAAAAAGAAGAAUU
rnacentral:lncRNA from 1 species